GUAACAUUAGCUUAUAUAUCCUUUCAUCGGUUUUUUCUUAUUUCAUAUUUUUUGGGACCAGAAUGAGGCUCUCUGUCCACUACCUAUUGUUCCUGCAGUGACGAUUCAACAUCUUCAAAAUGUUUUUCGAAAUUUAUCUGCAGAUAAACGCUAACAAAAGUCGGAGCCUAUCAGUGUGCAAAUUAAGGAGCCAAUUGAACUGCUCCGAUGUGAUUCGGUUCAGUUUUACCUAAAAGAGCCGUACAACAAGAGUCUUUGUUCGAGAGGCUGGAUGUCUCAGAGCAGAUGCUUCAGGGUCUCUAUGCUGCUGAUAGGUCAUCUCUCAGGGUCUCUAUGCUGCUGAUAGGUCAUCUCUCAGGGUCUCUAUGCUGCUGAUAGGUCAUCUCUCAGGGUCUCUAUGCUGCUGAUAGGUCAUCUCUCAGGGUCUCUAUGCUGCUGAUAGGUCAUCUCUCAGGGUCUCUAUGCUGCUGAUAGGUCAUCUCUCAGGGUCUCUAUGCUGCUGAUAGGUCAUCUCUCAGGGUCUCUAUGCUGCUGAUAGGUCAUCUCUCAGGGUCUCUAUGCUGCUGAUAGGUCAUCUCUCAGGGUCUCUAUGCUGCUGAUAGGUCAUCUCUCAGGGUCUCUAUGCUGCUGACAGGUCAUCUCUCAGGGUCUCUAUGCUGCUGAUAGGUCAUCUCUCAGGGUCUCUAUGCUGCUGAUAGGUCAUCUCUCAGGGUCUCUAUGCUGCUGAUAGGUCAUCUCUCAGGGUCUCUAUGCUGCUGAUAGGUCAUCUCUCGGAGUCUCUAUGCUGCUGAUAGGUCAUCUCUCAGGGUCUCUAUGCUGCUGAUAGGUCAUCUCUCAGGGUCUCUAUGCUGCUGAUAGGUCAUCUCUCAGGGUCUCUAUGCUGCUGAUAGGUCAUCUCUCAGGGUCUCUAUGCUGCUGAUAGGUCAUCUCUCAGGGUCUCUAUGCUGUCCCCUGCUGAUAGGUCAUCUCUCAGGGUCUCUAUGCUGCUGACAGGUCAUCUCUCAGAGUCUCUAUGCUGCUGAUAGGUCAUCUCUCAGGGUCUCUAUGCUGCUGAUAGGUCAUCUCUCAGGGUCUCUAUGCUGCUGAUAGGUCAUCUCUCAGGGUCUCUAUGCUGCUGAUAGGUCAUCUCUCAGGGUCUCUAUGCUGCUGAUAGGUCAUCUCUCAGGGUCUCUAUGCUGCUGAUAGGUCAUCUCUCAGGGUCUCUAUGCUGCUGAUAGGUCAUCUCUCAGGGUCUCUAUGCUGCUGAUAGGUCAUCUCUCAGGGUCUCUAUGCUGCUGAUAGGUCAUCUCUCAGGGUC